AGAGUUUGAUCAUGGCUCAGGAUGAACGCUAGCGGCAGGCCUAACACAUGCAGGUCGAGGGGUAGCAGGAACAAGCUUGCUUGUUUGCUGACGACCGGCGCAUGGGUGCGUAACGCGUAUGCAACCUACCCUGUACUGGGGUAUAGCCCGAAGAAAUUCGGAUUAAUCCCCCAUAGUAUUAUUGGAUCGCAUGGUUUAAUAAUUAAAGGUUACGGUACAGGAUGGGCAUGCGUCCCAUUAGCUUGAUGGUGAGGUAACGGCUCACCAUGGCAACGAUGGGUAGGGGGCCUGAGAGGGUGGUCCCCCACACUGGUACUGAGACACGGACCAGACUCCUACGGGAGGCAGCAGUGAGGAAUAUUGGUCAAUGGGCGCAAGCCUGAACCAGCCAUGCCGCGUGCAGGAAGAAGGUCCUAUGGAUUGUAAACUGCUUUUAUUGGGGAAUAAACCUCUUUACGUGUAGAGAGCUGAAGGUACUCAAUGAAUAAGCACCGGCUAACUCCGUGCCAGCAGCCGCGGUAAUACGGAGGGUGCAAGCGUUAUCCGGAAUCAUUGGGUUUAAAGGGUCCGCAGGCGGGAAGAUAAGUCAGUGGUGAAAUCUCACAGCUCAACUGUGAAACUGCCAUUGAUACUGUCUUUCUUGAAUUCGAUCGAAGUGGGCGGAAUGUGACAUGUAGCGGUGAAAUGCUUAGAUAUGUCACAGAACACCGAUAGCGAAGGCAGCUCACUAGGUCUGGAUUGACGCUCAGGGACGAAAGCGUGGGGAGCAAACAGGAUUAGAUACCCUAGUAGUCC
rnacentral:rRNA from 1 species